rnacentral:rRNA from 1 species
GCCUAACACAUGCAAGUCGAACGGAGCCAUCUAAACAAUCCCUUCGGGGUGCGUUUGGGGAAGCUUAGUGGCGGACGGGUGAGUAACGCGUGAGUAACCUGCCUUUCAGAGGGGGAUAACGUUCCGAAAGGAACGCUAAUACCGCAUAACGUAUUUUUACCGCAUGAUAGAGAUACCAAAGAUUUAUCGAUGAAAGAUGGACUCGCGUCUGAUUAGCUAGUUGGAGGGGUAACGGCCCACCAAGGCGACGAUCAGUAGCCGAACUGAGAGGUUGAUCGGCCACAUUGGAACUGAGGCACGGCCCAGACUCCUACGGGAGGCAGCAGUGGGGGAUAUUGCGCAAUGGGGGAAACCCUGACGCAGCAAUGCCGCGUGAAGGAAGAAGGUCUUCGGAUCGUAAACUUUUGUCUUCAGGGACGAUAAUGACGGUACCUGAGGAGGAAGCCACGGCUAACUACGUGCCAGCCGCCGCGGUAAAAC